CCUCCCGCCACCCUUCCCUCCUCUGACAGUCCCAACGGACGGCGACGUUCCUCGUAUUCACAAAUCCAAAACUUGACAGGGAGGCUGUCCUAAUGUAUGACCAUUGUGUAGAGGUCACUGUUGAUGUCCGAGUCAUGCAGAGGAAGCUCGUCAUGCGGAGUGCCGUGUGCUUCAGGGAGCAAUCACCGGCCUCCAGCUUUCCCUAUCAACAUUCUCCGCUGCCCUCAGGCCAACAAGCCAGAUUUUUCAUGUCAGCUGGCAUGCAUCUUCAGCUCGAAGAAGAAUAGCUGCUGCAGAUGUUAAUGGGGAUCUCAAUAAAAGUAACUAAACAUAAA